rnacentral:misc_RNA from 1 species
AGUCGUAACAAGGUAUCCGUAGGUGAACCUGCGGAUGGAUCAUUAACAAAGGAUUAUCUCCUACGUUUUGUGAACUGUUUUGAAUUCACAGUCAGUGGCUUUGGUGGGCCUGGCGCUUCAGAUGGCUUUUAAUGCGGUAUUUUCUGCGUUGGAGGAUGUUUGGGGCAACCCCAUUGGGGUCAAGCCUAUCAUGUCGCUGGCUGUACUUAUUAAAUGUCUUCUUUCUUCAAACUGAAGUCUAUUUAGUUUCUGAACUAAAACAACUUUUAGCAACGGAUCUCUUGGCUCUC